rnacentral:rRNA from 1 species
AAGACCUUGCGCUUUUGGAGCGGCCGAUGUCUGAUUAGCUUGUUGGUGAGGUAAAAGCUUACCAAGGCUUCGAUCAGUAGCUGGUCUGAGGGGACGGCCAGCCACACUGGGACUGAGACACGGCCCAGACUCCUACGGGAGGCAGCAGUGGGGAAUUUUGGACAAUGGGGGCAACCCUGAUCCAGCCAUGCCGCGUGAGUGAAGAAGGCCUUCGGGUUGUAAAGCUCUUUCAGCCGGAACGAAACGGUUACGGUUAAUACCCGUGACUACUGACGAUACCGGAAGAAGAAGCACCGGCUAACUACGUGCCAGCAGCCGCGGUAAUACGUAGGGUGCAAGCGUUAAUCGGAAUUACUGGGCGUAAAGCGUGCGCAGGUGGUUUUGUAAGUCAGAUGUGAAAUCCCCGGGCUUAACCUGGGAACU